rnacentral:rRNA from 1 species
UCGAGCGGAAGGCCCUUCGGGGUACUCGAGCGGCGAACGGGUGAGUAACACGUGAGCAACCUGCCCCAGGCUUUGGGAUAACCCCGGGAAACCGGGGCUAAUACCGAAUAUGACCUUGCACCGCAUGGUGUUUGGUGGAAAGUUUUUCGGCUUGGGAUGGGCUCGCGGCCUAUCAGCUUGUUGGUGGGGUGAUGGCCUACCAAGGCGACGACGGGUAGCCGGCCUGAGAGGGCGACCGGCCACACUGGGACUGAGACACGGCCCAGACUCCUACGGGAGGCAGCAGUGGGGAAUAUUGCACAAUGGGCGGAAGCCUGAUGCAGCGACGCCGCGUGAGGGAUGACGGCCUUCGGGUUGUAAACCUCUUUCAGCAGGGACGAAGCGUAAGUGACGGUACCUGCAGAAGAAGCGCCGGCCAACUACGUGCCAGCAGCCGCGGUAAGACGUAGGGCGCGAGCGUUGUCCGGAUUUAUUGGGCGUAAAGAGCUCGUAGGCGGCUUGUCGCGUCGACCGUGAAAACUUGGGGCUCAACCCCAAGCCUGCGGUCGAUACGGGCAGGCUAGAGUUCGGUAGGGGAGACUGGAAUUCCUGGUGUAGCGGUGAAAUGCGCAGAUAUCAGGAGGAACACCGGUGGCGAAGGCGGGUCUCUGGGCCGAUACUGACGCUGAGGAGCGAAAGCGUGGGGAGCGAACAGGAUUAGAUACCCUGGUAGUCCACGCUGUAAACGUUGGGCGCUAGGUGUGGGGGGCCUCUCCGG